GCGACCAUGGCGGAAUUGGUAUACGCGCAGCACUAAGGAUGCUGUGGAUUUAUCCUUGUGGGUUCAAGUCCCACUGGUCGCACCA
rnacentral:tRNA from 1 species